UCAGGACAGUGCCCAUGCCUGUAUCACUGUUUGCUUCUCAGUGCCUAGAGCCACCUCUGGCAUAGCUGCUUGGACCCUAGGUGGGUCUCACCUGCUGCACCAUGGGGAAGGCAGGGGAAGGAGUUUCUGACUGAGGCCUGAAGACCCAUGGUUUCUGUUUUCUGGUCUGGGAUUGGACAGGGACCAUGUCGAAGGGGAUGGGUGUUAUCCACUGGAAGCUCUCUCCCUCACCUGGGAGGAUGAAGAGUACCUGACCGUCCACUGCUCAUCCAAAGGCCAGCUGUCCUGUGGAGACUGCUUGGAGCUAGACUCGGGGACCAUUCCAUUGCCACAGUUUUGUCUAGAGUCCUGGCCUCUGGAAGGGAGCCUGGAGAGUGAGAGUGAGUGGGAAGAUCUGGAGGAGCCCAAGGAUGCAAUGACAAUGCCCUCAGGUGAACAGAGUCCCAGCCAGUCUCGUGGAACAGGACCUCAGGAUUUCUGAGUGGUGAUCCCUUUGGCGGCAGAGGCCUCAAAUGACUGUGGUACAGAGAAUGUGCCCACCAGCUGUGUCACCAGGAAAGAUGAUGACCUGGGAUGGAGCGACUGGCCCAGGUGUUAAGGGCUAAUUCUAAAGGAGGACACCUGUCAUUCCUGGGACUCAUUUUGGACAGUUCCAGAAUUUCAAUCAAGGAAAGCUCUGUGUGUGUGUGUUGGGGUGGGGGUGGGCGCUUCUCCUGGAGAGAGGAGUUGGGAACCAACCUCUUCCAUCAAGGUACCUUGGGCAAGGGCCUGGUGCACACUUCCUGGAUAGAUGCAGCCUUCUGGUUUGCACUGUUUACUUCAUUUCCCUAUUCAUAGAAGGAGUUUAUAUAGUUCUCAAAGUGCCCCAGUUUGCUGGGAAAUACCUGCUAAGGGCUUUUGCCCAAAGCCCAUGGGGAAAGCAUGUUUUGGUAUCUUUCUGCACUCUUCCUAUGCAACCCAAACAGUUAUACAUUCCUUUAAAACAAUUUUUCUUUUGUACUUAACACAUUGUUCUAGUGAUUAUGUGAAGAAAAAAUAAGAUGAGAAUAUUAAGAAGAAUGAAGUAGUAGAUCCAGCUUGAUCAGAUCUUAAGACAGAUCACCACCAUCAUGAUAAAAAUUAAACCACAUGAAUGUGCAAAUGCACAAAAGAAAUAGACCUGGAAAAUACUUGGCACCAUGUGACAGGGGACAUAUGGCAGAGGCAAGAUCUCACAGGUACAACUAGGGGAGGGAGGGAGCAAGAGAAUGAGGGAGAGAGAGAGAGACAGAGAGAGAGAGUGACAGCGAGAGACAAAGACAGAGAGACAGAGGAGACAAAGACAGAGACAGAGAGACAGAGAAACACACACACACACAGAAGGAGACACCAAGGAAAGGAGACACCAACAGAGAAACCAGAUAGAAACAAAGUUUAAAAAAUCCUCUGCUCUAAAAUCUAAUUUAUGAACUACUUCGUUACGCGCUUUCAUUUCUAAUCUUCCUGUCCUCAUCAUGAUAGAAUAGUCUUGUAGGUUAUGACUUUUUCUAUUGUAAAUGAAAAGGGAAUUUCCUGGGAAGUGAAUAGUCUUGUUUCAGAUUCUCUCAAGCUUCAGUGCCUCACAAUUAGAGAAUU
ensembl:lncRNA